GAAUAUUGGACAAUGGGCGAAAGCCUGAUCCAGCAAUGCCGCGUGAGUGAUGAAGGCCUUAGGGUUGUAAAGCUCUUUUACCCGGGAUGAUAAUGACAGUACCGGGAGAAUACGCCCCGGCUACCUCCGUGCCAGCAGCCGCGGUAAUACGGAGGGGGCUAGCGUUGUUCGGAAUUACUGGGCGUAAAGCGCGCGUAGGCGGCUUUGCAAGUUAGAGGUGAAAGCCCGGAGCUCAACUCCGGAACUGCCUUUAAAACUGCAUCGCUAGAACGAUGGAGAGGUAAGUGGAAUUCCGAGUGUAGAGGUGAAAUUCGUAGAUAUUCGGAAGAACACCAGUGGCGAAGGCGACUUACUGGACAUCUGUUGACGCUGAGGUGCGAAAACGUGGGGAGCAAACAGG
rnacentral:rRNA from 1 species